rnacentral:rRNA from 1 species
ACUCCUACGGGAGGCAGCAGUGGGGAAUAUUGCACAAUGGGCGCAAGCCUGAUGCAGCCAUGCCGCGUGUAUGAAGAAGGCCUUCGGGUUGUAAAGUACUUUCAGCAGUGAGGAAGGUGGGUAUGUUAAUAGCAUAUUCAUUCUGACUGUUAGCUGCAGAAGAAGCACCGGCUAACUCCGUGCCAGCAGCCGCGGUAAUACGGAGGGUGCGAGCGUUAAUCGGAAUUACUGGGCGUAAAGCGCAUGCAGGUGGUUUGUUAAGUCAGAUGUGAAAGCCCGGGGCUCAACCUCGGAAUUGCAUUUGAAACUGGCAAACUAGAGUACUGUAGAGGGGGGUAGAAUUUCAGGUGUAGCGGUGAAAUGCGUAGAGAUCUGAAGGAAUACCGGUGGCGAAGGCGGCCCCCUGGACAGAUACUGACACUCAGAUGCGAAAGCGUGGGGAGCAAACAGGAUUAGAUACCCUGGUAGCUACGAGU